rnacentral:tRNA from 1 species
GCGUUCUUAGCUCAGUUGGCUAGAGCACCACCUUGACAUGGUGGAGGUCAAUGGUUCAAUUCCAUUAGAACGCA